rnacentral:rRNA from 1 species
AUUGAACGCUGGCGGCAUGCCUUACACAUGCAAGUCGAACGGUAACGCGGGGCAACCUGGCGACGAGUGGCGAACGGGUGAGUAAUGCAUCGGAACGUGCCCAGUUGUGGGGGAUAACUGCUCGAAAGAGCAGCUAAUACCGCAUACGACCUGAGGGUGAAAGCGGGGGAUCGCAAGACCUCGCGCAAUUGGAGCGGCCGAUGUCGGAUUAGCUAGUUGGUGUGGUAAAGGCCCACCAAGGCGACGAUCCGUAGCUGGUCUGAGAGGACGACCAGCCACACUGGGACUGAGACACGGCCCAGACUCCUACGGGAGGCAGCAGUGGGGAAUUUUGGACAAUGGACGCAAGUCUGAUCCAGCCAUGCCGCGUGCGGGAAGAAGGCCUUCGGGUUGUAAACCGCUUUUGUCAGGGAAGAAAUCUUCUGGGUUAAUACCUCGGGAGGAUGACGGUACCUGAAGAAUAAGCACCGGCUAACUACGUGCCAGCCGCCGCGGUAAUAC